GACGUAGGGGGCCAGCGUUGUUCGGAAUUACUGGGUGUAAAGGGGUUCGUAAGGCGGUGCGGCAAGGUCGGGGAGUGAAAUCUCUAGGGCUCAACCCCAGAGGCUGCUUCCGAAACUUGACUGUGCUUGAGUGUGGGAGAGGCGCGUGGAAUUGCAGGUGUAGCGGUGAAAUGCGUAGAUAUCUGCAGGAACACCCGUGGCGAAAGCGGCGCGCUGGACCACUACUGACGCUGAAGAACGAAAGCUAGGGGAGCAAAACAGG
rnacentral:rRNA from 1 species